CGGGUGUUCACGUUGACUUCACGUGCCCCCAAUCAGAGGCCCAGCGACCUCGUCAACAUCGGAAUCGGAAUCGGAAUCUACGUCGAUGUCGGCAUACAAAAAACGGGUCUAUCUACAGCGGCGGCGCUUGCUCUGCGCUCUCCCCUGCCUGGCCCCACAGUGGAGGUGCUGCUUAUUCUAGAUUUAUUUCUGUGUGUGCCAUAUAUACACUCGUAUUUUCCACUUAUUGAUGAUGUUGUUUGUUGAUUCCCAUUGUGCUUGAUGACGAUGAUGAUGAAGAUGAACUGAGCCCCGAUAUGCCCGAGGCAACUGUCCCAUUAACGCCCAUUCACCUGAACCGGUUCAGGGACAGGGAAACCUUCUUCCAUCCUAUACCAUACACAUCCCAUCCCGUUGUGCCACGGACAACAACUUUCAAGUUCAGAUGGAACAUUUGGCAAGGGAAGGAACUGGGCCAAGGUCGGCCCCCUCGAGCGGCCAGAACGAGAAACGAGAGCGCUCAAAACAAAAACCAUUCGACUGUGGAUGGGGGAAAACCUUCACAUCAUCGUAAAUUUCCAUUGGGGGAACACCGCAAUCCCCAAUUGAAGGCCGCCCUGGCCCUUUGGUCUCAUUGUUUACAGCACGCCUCGGAUUCUGUUUACCUCUCUGCCUUCUACUAAAGAUUUGGAUACAUAUGUCCCGCGCUCUAUUCCGGGUUUUCGAUGGCGUUACGUUUUCUAUGGAAACGCGUUCUCCGGCACGUAGGCAGAGAGCAGAACGCAUCGCAUACGGUAUCGCAUUAGAACCACAUGAUGGAACCUGAAAAGAAUCUUAGGUAUACACUCCAAGAGAGGUUCUUCAGACCUGGAUAUCUAAUUAGAUCGGCGAAACCAUCAGCUAUCGUUUAAAGGAAUAAAUUCUUCAAUAGAUAAUGGUCACAUUCUUUAAGAAAUUAUGCCAGAAUUACGUUUACUGAUGAAAUAUUCUUAGAGCAGCGGUUAACAGAAUAGCAAUAGGCGAUUCCUAAAGAAGGUUUCGAUUUAUUCUAUGAAUCUGCCACCUGGGAUCCGUAAACAUUCAACAAAAAAGAAGCCGAAGAUGACAAUUGUAUUGGGGAGGGGCACGAAGAAGAAAAGGUAAGGUCUUCGGCUUUCUUGAUGGAGUUGCUUGGUCACGAGUCACAUGACGUCAUGGAGACUUUUGAGGAUAGCGCGUGUGCUUAGAGGGAGAUCAGAGACAAGUUUUUUUUCUGGGUUUUACCCAGUCCCCUUCCCAUUCGGGCGAUGGCCAAGAAAAACAUCAGGAAAAUGUUUGCCAAAAGUGAAUUGCAAAAUCUGGCAAGGGAGAAAAACUUGGGGAUAUGGGAAGUGGAAAAUGGGCCUCGUCUGUUGACGAUUUUCACGUUGUUGUCGUGCCGAAUUUUAGAUACUUUACUCAUGUUUUAUGUACGGCUCACUCGCUGGCUGCAUGAUUCGACUGUUGGACUGUACGACCGGGCGUCUGACGUCAGGCGGCUCCACCUGUGAUUGACGCUCGAGCAACGCCUCCUCCGAAUGUCCGGCGAUUGAGAAAAGAGACACAUGGCCAUGGCCGGGCUAGUGAUUGUGCUUUUGCUUGAAAUUCCUCGUUAAUAAUCCAUAUCGUGGCAGAGAGAGAGAGGCCUUGAACCCGGAGAGAGUACAGUGCCGGAACGCCAACGUCAUUGUCGGCCGACGAAGCUUCUUACGUUUGACCUUUGACGCGCAACAGGAGCAAAAGAGUAGUCUGUGUGACGUCACCAGACGCUACGUAACGCUACUGCGUCAAUGCGCAAGUUCUUUCUCUCCCUCCAAAAAGGGCUCUCUCGCCCACUAUCGUUUCUCUUUCUAAGGUCGGCCUGCCUUUCCGCUGGGCGUGGGGUAUGCGGCGGCCUACGUGCAACUGAGAAUGUGCGUGGGCACGUGUUCUCCGAGUCCGGAUUUGGAUUCGGAUCGGGAUAGGUGGGUGGGCGUAUCUGUGUGUGCGUAGGCGUGGGCGGCCUCCACUCCAGAUGCAUGUCAAGGAAGCUGAACUUGAACCUGGCCCCCGGGGACCGAGUGUCCGGCAGAGUUUUUCUGUCUAAAUUUAGAUACUUUUGUAUGAACAACCCACCUCUUGACGACGAUUAAAUUACAGAGAUUUCCCUAAUGGCAUGCGAAGGGGGUAGGUAAGGCUAAGGCGGCCUCCAACUGCGACGCAGUUAUUUCAUUCCAAAUGAGCGAUGCAGUGCACUUCCAAGGGGACGAGCGGGUGUAACGGUACAUCGUCCCAUUUACACGCCCACAUUCGAGAGAGUGGAGGCCAUCAUGCCAUGAGACUGCGCUUCAGUUCCGCGCAAAUUUACACACGAAUUCCAUUUCCAAUAACAAAAACCAAAAAAAACGCAAGCACUACAAACACCCACACACACACGCACACACUUCCAUGAUAAAAGCACGCCACAGACAGCUAGCCUCUCUUUCUCGCUCUCUCCGUCCCUCUCAUUCCAUCACAGCGAACGAACGCCUACCAAAGUAUCAACAAAUGUUCACGUGAACACCAUGAGGUCAACGCGUGAUACAGUCCCAGACACUGACGCACACACACACAGAGCCACAGACCCAGAGGCAAACAUGCUCAGCCAGUAAGAAGGUUAUAUUCGCAAAGGGUCGACUAGUUGAUACCUUCUCCAGCGAUUCUUCAAUAAUAG